UUCCCAUUUCAGAACUUACCCUGACUCUCUCUCUCUCUCCUCUUCCUCUUCCCCGCGUCGCCCUCCCUUUUUCUUUUUCCGAUUUCUUCACCGUCCGGCGUCCGAUUGAUGUGAUUCCAGUUGUCCUUGGACCGUCUCUUCCUCCUCUAUACGAUGGUAUCAGUGGGUAUCGGUGAUUUGGCCGGAAAACCCCGAAUUUAUGCAAUCAUCGUUACUGUAGCAAUUUGCUUCUCCGGUGAAAUUCUCCAGUUUUCGGCUAUCUCCGGCGGGAAAAUUGGUUCUAUUAGGAGCGCCUCGAGUCACUGAUCAUCUUCCCUCAAGACUUCUAGCUGAAAUUUCCACGUUUGGAAGGUGAAUUUGAAGGAUUUCCAAAUUGGUGGGUUUGGAGAUUUUCGGGUUUGUGUUCAUCGGCAAAAUUGGAGCACUUCAAGGAUGUCGUACCGAGCCCUGGCUCGAUGAAGGAACUCGUAUACGUGAUCGUCGGAAUAGUACUUGUGCAGGAGAAAUUAGUUGAGGUCGGGCAUACAUGGAGUCGAGGCAUAGUCAACAGUAUGGCUUCCGCGAUUGCCUUGAAUUAGGUUUUCCUCAUUUACCUUUCUAUUAGAAUUGCUCUGAUUACCUGCGGAAUUAAGGUUAUUAAGUCGAGAUUUGUGUGUUGUGAUUUUGGUUGAUGUUGUUUGGGGGAGCAGGGUGGCUCCAGGAGAAUAAGGAUGGGUGAUUUAGAAGUGUAAAUUCUCUUUCUACAGGUUUUGGGUUGUCCACUUUAGGGGAAGUUCUGCCUAAUUUUUGGC